rnacentral:rRNA from 1 species
UACGUAGGGGGCAAGCGUUGUCCGGAUUUAUUGGGCGUAAAGAGCGUGUAGGCGGCUGGGUAGGUCCGUUGUGAAAACUCGAGGCUCAACUUCGAGCUGUCGGUGGAAACUUUCUGGCUAGAGUCCGGAAGAGGAGAAUGGAAUUCCUGGUGUAGCGGUGAAAUGCGCAGAUAUCAGGAAGAACACCCGUGGCGAAGGCGGUUCUCUGGGACGGUACUGACGCUGAGACGCGAAAGCGUGGGGAGCGAACAGG